GGGUGGUAAUGCCGGAUGCUCCAGUUGAUCGCAUGGUCUUCUGGGAAAGCUUUCGCGGUAUGGGAUGGGGUCGCGUCCUAUCAGCUUGACGGCGGGGUAACGGCCCACCGUGGCUUCGACGGGUAGCCGGCCUGAGAGGGCGACCGGCCACAUUGGGACUGAGAUACGGCCCAGACUCCUACGGGAGGCAGCAGUGGGGAAUAUUGCACAAUGGGCGCAAGCUGAUGCAGCGACGCCGCGUGAGGGAUGGAGGCCUUCGGGUUGUAAACCUCUUUUAUCGGGGAGCAAGCGAGAGUGAGUUUACCCGUUGAAUAAGCACCGGCUAACUACGUGCCAGCAGCCGCGGUAAUAAU
rnacentral:rRNA from 1 species